CGGGUCAAGUCCCUUGGAACAGGGCGCCACUGAGGGUGAGAGCCCCGUAUCCGCCCGGGUCGCCAUCGCCGCAGGAAGCCCCUUCGACGAGUCGGGCUGUUUGGGAAUGCAGCUCCAAGCGGGAGGUAAAUUCCUUCUAAGGCUAAACACCGGCCGGAGACCGAUAGCGCACAAGUAGAGUGAUCGAAAGAUGAAAAGCACUUUGGAAAGAGAGUCAAACAGCACGUGAAAUUGUUGAAAGGGAAGCUCUUGCCGCCAGACCGGCCGCGGUCGCGCAGCCGCGCUCCAACGCGCGGUGCACCCGUCCGCGGCAGGCCAGCGCCGGCUCGGGCGGUCGCACAAAGGCCUCGGGAAAGUAGCCCCCCGCGGGGGGUGUUAUAGCCCGGGGUGCAAUGCGAUCAGCCCGGACCGAGGCACGCGUUCGCUAGGGCGCUGGCGUAAUGGCCGCAAGCGACCCGUCUUGAAACACGGACCAGUAAGCACCACCCCCCCGGCCUUCGGGCCCUCCCCCCCGGGUGUAUCGGCAUGCUAACGUGACGCCACUGCAGAGGAGUCUAACAUCUGUGCGAGUGUUUGGGUGUCCAAGCCCAUACGCGUAAUGAAAGUGAACGGAGGUGGGAACCCCUUUACCGGGACGCACCAUCGACCGAUCCUGAUGUCUUCGGAUGGAUUUGAGUAAGAGCAUUUAUGUUGGGACCCGAAAGGUUAGUUCUCUCGACACGGCCCCGAAGCCACGACGACGGGUAUGCUAACGACUCGGCGAGCAGAUGGUGAACUAUGCUUGGAUAGGGUGAAGCCAGAGGAAACUCUGGUGGAGGCUCGCAGCGGUUCUGACGUGCAAAUCGAUCGUCAAAUCUGAGUAUAGGGGCGAAAGACCAAUCGAACCAUCUAGUAGCUGGUUCCUGCCGAAGUUUCCCUCAGGAUAGCAGUAACGCCUCCAGUUUUAUGAGGUAAAGCGAAUGUUUAGGGACGUUGGGGUUGAAACAACCUUGUAAGUGCCGCCCACCGCAGCGGAUAGCCCACCGGACGAACGCAACGCUAACCCGUCCGAACCCCAGGCGCCAUUCACAAACUUUAAAUAUGUAAGAAGCCCUUGUUGCUUAGGUGAACGUGGGCCUUCGAAUGUACCGUUACUAGUGGGCCAUUUUUGGUAAGCAGAACUGGCGAUGCGGGAUGAACCGAAAGCGGGGUUAAGGUGCCGGAGUGGACGCUCAUCAGACACCACAAAAAGUGUUAGUUCAUCUAGACAGCAGGUACGUCAGCGGACAGCGCCCCUAAACAGCACCGGCCGGGAGCACUCGCUAAUCUAUCCCCACAGGACGGUGGCCAUGGAAGUCGGAACCCGCUAAGGAUCGUGUAACAACUCAGUAAGUCGAGAUACAGCUAUUCCCAUCCGCGCAUUUGGUUUGCUAACCUAGGUAACCCCUCAGCCUGCCGAAUGAACUAGCCUUGAAAAUGGAUGGCGCUUAAGCGUCCCACCCACACCCCGCCGCCGGGGCGGAAGCGAAGCCCCGGCGAGUAGGCAGGCGCGGGGGU
rnacentral:rRNA from 1 species